rnacentral:rRNA from 1 species
CCUAGUAACUGCGAGUGAAGCGGGAAGAGCUCAAAUUUUGAAUCUGGCGGUCUUGCGGCCGUCCGAGUUGUAAUCUAGAGAAGCGUUUUCCGCGCUGGACCGUGUACAAGUCUCCUGGAAGGGAGCGUCGUAGAGGGUGAGAAUCCCGUCUUUGACACGGACGACCAGUGCUAUGUGAUGCGCUCUCGACUAGUCGAGUUGUUUGGGAAUGCAGCUCAAAAUGGGUGGUAAAUUCCAUCUAAAGCUAAAUACAUGCGAGAGACCGAUAGCGAACAAGUACCGUGAGGGAAAGACGAAAAGAACUUUGGAAAGAGAGUUAAACAGUACGUGAAAUUGCUGAAAGGGAAACGCUUGAUGUCAGUCGCGUCGGCCGGGGAUCAACCUUGCUUCUCGCUGGGUGCAGUUCCUGGUCNACGGGUCAGCAUCGGUUUCGGUCGCCGUACAAUGGCGAGGGGAACGUGGCACUCUCCGGAGUGUGUUAUAGCCUUUCGUCGCAUGCGGUGGUUGGGAUCGAGGA